rnacentral:tRNA from 1 species
UGCGGGGUGCGUGUAACGGUAACUGGCCGGCCUCAUAAGCCGAGCGAUUGAGGGUUCGACUCCCUCCCCCGCCAC